rnacentral:rRNA from 1 species
GAUGAACGCUGGCGGCGUGCCUAAUACAUGCAAGUCGAGCGAACGGACGAGAAGCUUGCUUCUCUGAUGUUAGCGGCGGACGGGUGAGUAACACGUGGAUAACCUACCUAUAAGACUGGGAUAACUUCGGGAAACCGUAGCUAAUACCGGAUAAUAUUUUGAACCGCAUGGUUCAAAAGUGAAGGACGGUCUUGCUGUCACUUAUAGAUGGAUCCGCGCUGCAUUAGCUAGUUGGUAAGGUAACGGCUUACCAAGGCAACGAUGCAUAGCCGACCUGAGAGGGUGAUCGGCCACACUGGAACUGAGACACGGUCCAGACUCCUACGGGAGGCAGCAGUAGGGAAUCUUCCGCAAUGGGCGAAAGCCUGACGGAGCAACGCCGCGUGAGUGAUGAAGGUCUUCGGACCGUAAAACUCUGUUAUUAGGGAAGAACAUAUGUGUAAGUAACUGUGCACAUCUUGACGGUACCUAAUCAGAAAGCCACGGCUAACUACGUG